rnacentral:rRNA from 1 species
GAUGAACGCUAGCGGGAGGCCUAACACAUGCGAGCCGAGCGGUAUUGUUUCUUCGGAAAUGAGAGAGCGGCGUACGGGUGCGUAACACGUGUGCAGCCUGCCUUUAUCUGGGGGAUAGCCUUUCGAAAGGAAGAUUAAUACUCCAUAAUAUAUUGAACGGCAUCGUUUAAUAUUGAAAGCUCCGGCGGAUAGAGAUGGGCACGCGCAAGAUUAGCUAGUUGGUGAGGUAACGGCUCACCAAGGCGAUGAUCUUUAGGGGGCCUGAGAGGGUGAUCCCCCACACUGGUACUGAGACACGGACCAGACUCCUACGGGAGGCAGCAGUGAGGAAUAUUGGUCAAUGGGUGCAAGCCUGAACCAGCCAUCCCGUGUGAAGGACGACUGCCCUAUGGGUUGUAAACUUCUUUUGUAUAGGGAUAAACCUACCCUCGAGAGGGUAGCUGAAGGUACUAUACGAAUAAGCACCGGCUAACUCCGUG